AUAAAAAAAAUUGUCUGAUAAGCCUUGAAACGAAAAAUAAAAUGAUACAGAGUAAUGAUGAUAAGUAAUUUGGUAGCAUAUCGAUGGUGAAACUAUCAGACCGCACGUAUCUCGCUUGCGGUUUUUAAAAAUCUCCGCUCCCAUUCUUUUUAUUGUAGGAGAACAAAUCAAUAUCAUCUCUUGAAAUUUUCGCAGAGUUUUUUCCACACAGAGCAGGAAAAUCACUUAGUUAUUCUCUCUUCCUCAAAAUCCAUAUCACGACUUGCUACAUGUGAAAUACAUUUUCUGCAUAAAAAACUGAACUUUUUCUGUUUACGCCCCCUUUGGUGGGUAGGAACACAAAAUUGAAAUUCGCGCCAACUUUUUCGAAUCUCGCAUUGAGUGUUGCCUAGUGUUGUCCUGUAGCAACUAAUUUUUUUCCAAUUUUUUCCUUUUAUUUCUUUCCUUUCAGCCUUUCAAUCCCUUUCCUUUGCUCAGUCAACAAAUGCCGUUUUUUUACAUCUUCCUUUAGAGGAAAAUUUAGUGCGUAUCGUUAGUUAUUUCGAGAGGGGAUGCAUAAUUCAGGACAAAAUGUGUUAUUUUGAAAGUACCUACUCACCGGCAACCAUGUUCAAUACAGUAACGUAUUUUCGGUCCCUUGUUUACAUUAUUUUACUAAUGUCUUAUCGGUCUUAUCACGUCCUAUUGUCAGCUGCCAGAAGUUAUGACAGACGUAUAUUCCUUUUCAUAAUCAGCUAAUCAGCCUCAGCACCUCAGUUAAUCCACCAUCAAAAUGUCUGUGCCGAAUCUUUACCACAAAAAAUUGCAAAAGCGAAUUUAAAUUGUUGAAAAAGAACCACCGCAUUUCUGUUGCCAACAAGCAAAUAGUAAAAGAAGAUCGAGAUUUACACCAGAAAAAUGAGAAUCUUGUCAAAGAAUUGCAAAAGGAGCGCCUUAGAAGCCAAACACUAUAUUCUGAUUUGACCUACUUGCAAUUGGAGAAUCUCCAAUACAUGAAUACCCAUGGUGCCAUUCGUGCAGCUCAGUCAUCCCUAAGAUCUGAAAUUCCUAAAUUAGAAAAUCGAGUACGAGAGUUGAUUACUGAUUUAAUCAGUGCAAGCAGUCAUUUGGGCCCAUUGCAAAAUUCCAUUGGUAUAAUCAGACAUCUAACUUUAGAUCUUCAAGGUCAGGAAAACAGCAACAAUUCCAUCAGCUCACCCGCUCCUCCACGAUACGUCAAUGCAAUGGGUCAAAAAAGAAUGAAUUUAGAAAUUUUUCCCAAAAAUAUGGGUGUAGCUCUUAACUCCAUCGAAGAGGUUUCCCAAGAAAUUUCGACCACUUCUCCGCAAGUGAGUGCUCAAAAGGCUCCCCGCUAUGAAAGGAAAUGCAAGAAAGGCCUUAGGCAUCUUGUCAGUACAAGAAAAAGUUUUAGAGGGAGAAGUUCCGAAGUAUCCAAAGAGCCUAGUGAUCAAAGCAAUGUCUGUUUGUCAAACACCAACCACCACGAAGAAGGAGACAGAGUAGAGGAUUUUAAAUCCCCACAGUCUGUGCACUGCGAGGAAAAUUCACCCGAAUGCUCUAACAAAUCAGACUCCGGAAGUUCAAUGGAGUUGACUCCAAAAUUUGGAAAUGCAGGUGUGAGUGAAGACAACACUACACCUCAAAGUGAAGACAGUCCAUUGAGAUGUUCCAGGAAGUCAUCAUCAACCCUGAAUCCCUCUUCAACUCCAAGAAAAUAUAGUGAUGUUCUGAAAAGUGCUGAAAAACGCAAUGAUGGAAUUUCCUUUGUUUCAAGAAGUAGCAAUUUAGAAGCAGAACCUCAACAGGAGUUUUCAUCUCCAUUCAGUGAUAUUGAAUCCACAUUGCAGGGGAUAACUGUCAGAAGAGGCACUAGCCAUCGCAAAGUCUUGAGAACAGAACCCUCUUUCAGUGGCAGCUAUAUCCCUCACAGCUCAACAGAAAAUAUUGUCUGCAAGAUAGAACCUAUAGAUGAGUUAGAAUGUAGUAAGUCUCAAAAUCUGCAAACGGUGCCAAUUUUCAUAAGGUCAAAGAUACCUUCAGUUUCUAUGCUUUCGAACAGUCUUGGAAGCAAAUGA
rnacentral:lncRNA from 1 species